GAUAUCGGAGUAGUACAAAUCAACGCGUAAUAUUGCAUUUUAUUUAUGUACAAAUAAACGGUGAAUGAGGGGCUCUCCCUUCUCUCUAGAAACCCUAGCCCCAAAAUGAAAGCAGUCACCCUAGCCCAAAAUGAAAGCAGCCACCGCCCCUAAAGAAAGCUCCUAGAUCUAGACUCCAUUUCAGCCCUCUCUUCUUUGCCUUUAAAGAAAGAACUCCCAAAAUAGAUUCACAAUCUGUGGUUUUAAUCUCAUAUUUUGGGAUAUGAAUUGUAGAUCUGUAAUCUCAAGUCAUACUUUUGUUGAGAACCUCUGAUUCACGGUCAUUUUGUCAUGGGUCAAAGGAAUUGACAGAAUUUUAAGUCCUCAGUCGGACGUUUCCGCUUCUCCGUCCUUAGCCGGACAUAGAACUUUUGUUCACACCCAACCAAAUUUUCUAGUCUCCUCUUCAUCUCUUAAUUUGGUGUAAAUUAGUCAUUAUACCAAGUUAUCUAAAUUAGUUCAGAUCUGCUGCUUUUUGAAUUUUUUCAUGAAGGAUUUACCGCGCUCGGCUUCGACUCUUUCGUACCAGCCGAAAGAUGAGUUCUUGGUGUGGAAAUUUGCAGGUGGUGGUUUCAUUGUAAACUGAGUUAUCAAGAAUUGAGUUGUUUUUAGGCUCGGUGAAUAUUGAGUUCAUUACAUUUCUUGUAUAUAUAUUUCAAGUUAGUUUCUUUAUUUUUCCUAGUGUAUUUCUUUGGUUUGCUGUGCAGUUGGUUUAUAGUUUAGAUUUAGCAUUCUUUUUUCUUUAGUGUAAAUAUAGUGUCGGGCUUUGGGUUUGUAUUCUUCCGGAGGAUGGAGCGUCAUCAUAUACCGUUCGGCUAGUCGUCUAUCUUUGAAGUCUAUUCACCAAGUUUACUUGGAACUGGGGCUGGGAUAGUCUGAGGUUAGAACGUAGUUUCAUUGUAUGUUCUGUUCUACAAGAAGUUUGUUAUAACUCGGAGUCCGCCUGGGUUUUCUUUCUUUAUCCAAAAAAAAAUAAAAAAAUAAAUAAACGAUGAAUUAUUGUAUAAAAGACUAUACACCCAAAAGAAAGAAAUGGUAUUUAUUGUACAAAAGACUCUACACUCAAAAGAAAUUUACGGAGUACCAAUUGCCUGUUAGUUCAGUGGUGAUUGAGGCUGAACUUGGUAGGACGGACCGCGUGUUCGAUCCCCCGCAACAACAAUUGGGAGGGGACUGAAAUCUAUGCACCCAUAACUUAUCCCGAAUCCAUAUUAAUCCUAGGGGUGAAUUAGGUGGUAAAAAAAAAAACAAAAUAAAUAACGCUUCAAUGAACUUGCCAAUUCCUAGACAUAUUGGUCAAAACCAAAUUGGCAUUUAGUUGUGGAUUUGUGGUUAAAGAUGGUUGUGAGACCUCACAAGACGUGAUUCGUGUCAAGCUCGUGCGCCAUGUGUUUGAAUGGGUUAGAUCCACGUCAAGUUUACUUGUUUGUGUCGGGUUGUGUUGGGCGAAAAUUUCAAAAGAGUGGCUUUUACCCAUGCCUUCGUGAUUGACCUUCGUACCUAUGCCUAAUUACACUGUAUUUAACGUGUUUUAUAUUGUAUCAGGGUCUUUUCAAAAAAAAAUGUGGACCGAGCCUAACCCAUGGCUCAGGACUUUGUGAUUGUAUUUGCGUCAUGCCAUACACUAGAGGAAAAAUCGGCAUGUGCUUGUCUUCAAGUGCGACUCAUUUAAUAAAUUGGCAGCACUUGAGAUCACAAAAAAGAAAGGAAAAAGAAACAUUUUUCACAAGUGCGGGCUCAUUUUAGAAAAUUGGCAACACUUGAGUUCAAUUGCGAGUUUUGAGCUCAAGUGCGGGCUCAUUAUCUUUUUUUAAUUUUCAUUUCCCCGCUCCUCUCCUUCCCCUUCUCUACUUCUUUUCUAGUUCUUCUCUAACAAGUCGUCGCUGCUCUUCCUCUUCAUGCCGCGUCGCCGCUGCUCUUCCUCUCCUCUCCUUCUGCAUCGCUCCUCCUUUCCCCAUCACCGCUGAGCUCCACCUUCUUCUAGAUGGAACUAAUGCAGGUUUAUUGCUGGAAAGGUAUUCGAUUAUCAGCUCUACAUGACUUGGAAGACUUUUCUACGUAAAUGAAUUUGAUAUUGAAGGGGUUAUGCCACUAGAAUUACUCCUGUUACUGAAGUAAGGUCCAAGUAUCAAGCAAAGCCAAUUGACAAGUGUAAACGUGCGAUAAAGGAUGAAAGUAAGGGUUAUGUACCUUCAUCCGAAUAUAAUCAGGUAUUAUGAUAUACGUUAUUUAGAAUAUGCUUUUAAGCUCAUUAUACUCCAUCUUGCAAUGGGAAAUACUUCAUGCGAAAAUUUCAAAUGCGUGGCGGUGGAUUUGGAACGCUUCUUUUGAAUAUGUAUACAUCCAACCUUUUGAUUACCUUUACUAAGGUACGUAGUCUUUAGGAUUACAUGUCUACUUUUGGACUUGGAAAAAAAAACGUGUGUAAUUAAAUGUAAGGUUACUUUUUGUUGUAUAUAACUAUAUACGAAUAAUGGAAUAA